rnacentral:lncRNA from 1 species
UCAUCUGUCUGAUUAUGAGUUGCCAGCUUCUUAUUUUUGCUAUCUCCCUUCAUCUAUAAUACUUUAGUAAAAGGAUAAGAAACACCGUCUGAGACUUAUGUACCUCUGUUUUGGCGGUACAAUUUCUUCACUGUGAAGAUAAUACUGUGUGAUUGUUUUGCUUCUGGUAAAUCCUUCAUCUAUUUUCCGUCUGUUCAAUUUCAAUUCCCUUUUUGAAUUUUAUAUGCCAUUGAUUUCACUAAUUGAAGUAUAUAAUUCCUUUCCCACCCUCCAUGUAUAUAUAGUGGCACGGUUUGAUUUUUCAUGGGGCGAUGCUCAGUUUCACCAAGAGACAUUGGGAAACCUGAAGGUUGCAAUGAAGAGUACCAAUAAACUGUGUGCAGUAAGCUUGCUAUUCUUAUGAGCUCUGCAUUUUGUCUUAAAUUAUUUAAAUGUAUAUAAUGAUCCUAAAAUUCAACUUUUAACUAACUGUGCUUUUGUAUCUGCAUUAUUUAAUUUGUUAUGUUCCUUUCACUAAAUCUCCUUAACUUGUAAAGGUUUGAUAUGUACGCUUACAAGUUGGUUUAUUAAUCUUCUUUUUUUUUUCAGGUAAUGCUAGACACAGUGGGUCCAGAGUUGCAGGUAGUAAAUAAAAGUGAGCAUCCCAUAUCUCUUCAGGAAGAUACCCUGGUUGUCCUAACACCUGAUCAAGACCAAGAGGCCACCUCAAAUCUACUACCCGUAAAUUUUAGUGGCCUGGCAAGGGUAUGUAUGAUUGAAAGAUGUCAUUCUGAAUAUUUUCUGGCUUAUCUCUAUGAAAGACAUAUAUCUUGCUAUAUUAGAAUCCUUGGUUCUAUUGGAUCUACAGCGAUGAACUUUGCCGUGCCAAUCUAUUUCUCUGAGUGAAGACGAACUGUGAAGUAACUGUUUUUGCACUUACCAAACUCAGCUAACCUGGAAAGAGACUGACUUAUUCUGACAUCAAUGAGGGACGGGGCUUUUGACGCAUUGUUUGUUUUUCCAAUGAGCAGUCGUGUUUUUAAAUCUAACCAACCCCCACUCCCACCCACACACUUGCAUCGCAUUCAAGGGUAAUUAUUCGACAAAAUAAUCAAAUGGGGAAUAACUUAGCCAUUUGAUGAUUGUACCGAUGAUUUUCUAUGUUUAUCAAAACACUAUGUGCGUCUACUUAUUUGACAAAAAUGAAAUGACUAAACCAUUUCAAACUUAUGUGAUUUUGUGCUGUUUCUUCUGUUUCUUUCAGUUCUUGAACUUUAGCUGUUUUUUGGAUGCUUUACUUCUGGUGUAGAAUUCUUGUACAUAUAGACAAGGAAGUUCAGGUCAUCCAUAUCAUAUCAUGUCACGAGAUUUUCGAGGAACCAAUUCAUCUCUUGUAGGUUCAGGAAUGGUGUCUUAGAGAAACCAGUUCAUAUAGUUUGAUUUGACUUCCUCCUCUUGAUUUUUGAAGCAUGUAAGGACUAUAAUUAGUUCUGUAUAUUUAUCUUACAACAUGUCUCACAUUAUGUUGGCAUUGCUGCAAUGAGUUAAGUUAAAUUUGGUCUUUGCAGGCAGUGAAGAAGGGAGAUACAAUUUUUAUUGGUCAAUACCUCUUUACGGGGAGUGAAACUACUUCUGUGUGGCUGGAGGUAAGGAAAUAUAAGAUAUAUGAGUUCCAUUAGGAAGUUGGUUGUAGUAUAGUUGGUUUCAGAAUCAAAAUUAAGCAUGUUAAUUUCAAAUCCUUGCCUAGUCAGAUAUGUAUUCCUUGUCACUCAGUUAGAAGUGAAAACAAGGUAAUAGCCACUUUAUUCGUUACUCUUCCAACUGUUCCAAAGAAAUCUUGUAAAAAAAAAACGCAAGAGUGGGACCAGAUUCUGAGAGAUAAGGAAUGCUGACAUUCAACUUUAAAAUUUUAAAUUAAUUGAACAUUUUAGACAUAGAUUGGGAAUUAGGUGAAGCUCUGGUAGCAGACUAAAGCUAUAACUGAAUGCUAUAAAUUUGAUACAACCUUUGGCAGUGGAACCUAUAGUCUCUCAAGGUCCACUAUUGUAUGCAUACAUGAUAUUUAUAGGGGAUCAUCAGAAGUUAUCUAUUUGAUGAGUGACCUGGGUCCUGAAAACUUUAAUGUAAAUAAAACCUCUAGGAACUCUAAAUUUGCUACCUGCAGUAUGGUCAGAUGGCCUUAUUGUAUGUCGAUUGCUUCCAUUAGAUUUAUUAUGAGCCUCCAUCCGUUCGGUUGGCAGAUGUCUCUUGAAGAUUACCCUCUGCAUUCUUUUUAUAUAAUAUUCUCAGGAAAAAGAAUGAUUCACAUGUUGUUGUAACAUUUUGUUUUACAAUGCAGGUCACUGAGGUGAAUGGUGAAGAUGUGGUUUGUCUCAUAAAGAAUUCUGCUACCUUGGCAGGGUCAUUGUAUACUUUGAAUGUCUCUCAGAUUCGUAUUGAUCUGCCUACACUUACCGAUAAAGAUAAGGAGGUUAGUUUCUUUUGAAGUCACAGUACUAGAUACUAACAUAAUUAGAUCCACCCACAACCCUGAAAAUUGAAUUGUCUGCUUCUGCAUGGAUUCAUUAACUUGUGGAUUACAAUUUGUCCUUUUAUCAUUAAGUUUAGCGUUGCAAUUCAGAAGGAAAUUCUGAACGUGGUUAUCAGAUGUGUUUAGAGUGGUGUGGGUUUGUGGAUUGUUUGGUUGGUAAGAAACACUUGGUUUUCUUCUUCUUCUUUGGGGUAGGAUUAGUUUUUAACUCUUUUUGGACAUUUUUGUCAAAGUAUUCUAGAGAGGUAACAGUCAGUAUAGUUAAUCUUGACUGAGGUUUGUGUUUUGUUUUGAGCUGUACCUUGGAGGAGAUGGACUUUGUCAAGUUUGUUUGUCAUUCUUCAUUUUCUGGAUUCAUUCCUUGAGUGUCUUCACUCAUCGUUGCUGAAUGAUGGCUUGUAUACCUUCUAAUUUUAUUGAUAGUGAAUUAGAAGGUACAUGAGGUAAUGUUGAAUUCAUUUUAGAAGGUACAUGAGGUAAUGUUGAAUUCAUUAAAAUGAAUUUGGAGGUAAUGUUUAACUCAUUAAAAUCAAUUUGGAGGAAACUGUAUAAAAAAAUCACUUUUUAUAAAAGGAGAUCUUAUUCUUACGUGAAUUGCUUAUUUAAUGUGUUUUAACAUUUUAAUAAUUUAUCAGAUCAUAAGCACUUGGGGUGUUCGUAACACCAUCGACUUCCUCUCAUUAUCAUAUACGCGUCAUGCUGAAGAUGUUCGCCAUGUAAGGACUGUUCAUGACAGGAUUUCCUGUCUGUUCUGGUGUUAUGUGAAUUAUAAUUUUUCUCCCUGUUCAUCCCUACUUUAUGAUGUGGUUCACUCGUAUUUAGGGCUUAAUUCCCUGGGUAAUAUUAUUAUGUUUCCUUAUACUUUUGAUAAUAUAAGGAGAAACUAAGUACCCUUUCCUUAUUAUUCUUUUCUUUUUGAGGAAGUAUUACUAUUCUAUUUUAAUAGGCUGUUCUUGUUAUGCAGGCCCGUGAGUUUCUUUCAAAGUUAGGCGACCUCAACCAAACUCAGAUUUUUGCAAAAAUUGAAAAUGUAGAGGUGAGUUUCUUUGAAAAGGACAAAAAACAAAAUUUACUAAUAUUAUCACUAUCAGCUUGGAUUAUGGAUAUGGUUACCACCUUGACAUGCGGGCUCCACAUUUGUGGAGAGCCCUCAGUAGUCAGUAUUUAGGCAGUAAUGGUGGUAAGGAAUAUUCUUGGCAGAAAGGAUCAUGUGUGACUGAUCAGAUUUCCAAAUGUCAUACUUGUGCUUGGAUUUGAAUUAGCUUACAGGUUCUCUUCUAUUUUUGUAGGGGUUAAAUCAUUUUGAUGAAAUUUUGCAAGAAGCUGAUGGUAUUAUCGUCUCUCGUGGAAUUCUGGGGAUAGAUCUCCCACCAGAGAAGGUACACUUUGGUAAUCAUGUUCUUUUAUGUAUUUACAUCAUCUGCACAUGGCCACAAAAGUAAUGAGUAAGUCAUUGUCAAACAGUCUUCCUGAUAUACCGUAUUGGUAUGACUUAAGUGAGAACCAUGUCUUGUAUGUGGCGUCAUCAGUUGGGUGUACCUGCACAAGUUAUAUUCUGUUAUGAUAAUUAAAUAGUGACUUAUCAAAUGUCGAUUUCCUCUGAUGGUGACCUGAAAGCUGUUUUUUGGGGGGGGAGGGGGGGGGGGGUACUUACAGUAAUGAGGAUUGGGAACCAAAUGUUUUUUUAGUGUGUGUGUUGUAUCCAAUUUCCAUGCUUCGAUGGAUGUGUAUCUAUUAUAUACUUUUAGUUGGAGGUUAUUUUUUAUAAUGAGGCUUGAAUAUUCUUGUAAAGACCCUACUUUGAUCUUCCAGGUAUUUUUAUUUCAAAAAGCUGCUGUUUACAAGUGCAACAUGGCUGGAAAGCCAGCAGUGGUGACUCGGGUUGUGGACAGUAUGACCGACAACUUAAGACCUACUCGUGCUGAAGCAACUGAUGUUGCCAACGCUGUACUGGAUGGUAAACUUCUGUCUUUUGACAUGAAAUAUGCUCCUUUCUGUUACCUUUGGCGGGUUCCACCAUCUCAUUUAUUCUUUCAUGUCCAUGUCAUUGCAUGGAUUGUUGCUCUGUUAGUGUUAGUAAAUAUCAUUAGUAUUGUAAUACUCUUGUUGCUUGAGCAUUAUUAAACAAGUAACAAGUGAAUGUUAUCAUAGGAUGUACAAGUACGACCUGUGUAAUUAUUUACCCACUUCUCAAUUCUAUUUGUGCAGGAAGUGAUGCAAUUCUUCUAGGUGCAGAGACCCUGCGCGGUUUGUACCCUGUUGAGACGAUCUCCAUUGUUGGAAAGAUUUGCUCUGAGGUAACUCCAUUUCUGUAUUGUAAUAAAGCUCUCUCUCUCUCUCUCUUCUGAAAAAGCGAGUAAUCUUUUGGCUGUUGCAUCCCUGUGUUUUCCUGAUGAUGGCGGAGCCCGAUUCAAAUUAUAAUAAAUAAGCCCAUUCAAUUACUAAAAACCACAUGAUUCAGAUUAUUUAUAUCUAUUAUGCAAUAAAUGCAUUUGGCACAUGUAUUUUAGGAUCCUUGGUUUGGAAUCUUAUAUAUCACAUGAGGCAUCAUGAAUAUAUCUGCUGCCAUUUAAGUGUUUUAUUUGAGUCUUUUCAAUGAUUCAUGUGCCAAUGGUUCUGUACAUGAGUUACUUUGUGAGCUUUGAAAGUUUACGGUGAAAGAAGUUCUUGCGAUCUUCUGACUGUGAUGCCAAAAGUUUUCUAAUUUCUCUAUUGGAGUGAUUAAAAUAUACCUUUGGUGCAGUGCCAAAGGUUGGAGUGAGCCCAUAUAUCUGUUUUCUUCAAUUCUCUUGUGAUUGUCCUACAACAGUAGAGACUUUUAUGGACGUGCACCUCCAAAGCUAGUAUUGAAGUAGCAUUGUUUUUCCAUCCUAUUAGUUUUCUCAUUUCUGAGGGUGUGUUUGCCAUAUGUUGAUGUGCAUUUUAGAAACUCCCUUUAUUCUUAUAUCGGACCAUUCCUUUAUAUUUUUUUCAUUCUUCUCUCUGAGAAUUCUUAAUAUUUCAGCUUUGGUUUUGUGGUUCUCUGAAGAUUCAGAACUGACUUAUAUUAGCACACUGAGCAUUGUUUAUGUUCUGUGGUCUUAUCGUUUCUGAUCUAGAAUUUGAUGGUUUCUAGCAUAGACGCUACCCAUUCCUAAAGCUAAGGGCUAGGAGUAUAUUUGAUGUAGAACCAAAUACCAGAAUUUAGAAUUAGAAUUUAGAAGACAAAAAAAGAUAUGUCGAGGAGAAUUUAGAAGAAGAUUACUGAGGGAAAAGAUUUGUUUAAUCAAUCAUUCAAGUCUGUCUAAUUUGAAUUACUUACAAAGCACAUAUUUAUAAUAACCUAGCCCUACGACAAUUAGGGGAGUAAUCCCAACCCUGAUAGCAACAGGAAAGAAAGAAAACAAGAAAAUAAAAUAAAACAGGAAAUAUGAUUCUGCAUCAACAUAUUCCGGUGGAAUUGUAGUACUAAUUGUAUAUAAUAUUUAUAAAUUGGAAAAUGUUCAUGGCUAUUCUGUUCACUCCCUCUCAUUUGAGCUUCAACUGUUCGAAGUGGCUAUAGAAAUAUGUGUUUUGUUAGUCCGGAUAUUAUUUCAAAACAUUGUCUCUUUCUUGAUACUUAAGAGUGAUUCAUUGGUCUUGGCUAUAGUCACACGACUCAUAUUAGAAUGUGUGAUCCUUUUGUUUUGUGGUCAGUCAGUUUUGGAGGGUGGGGGUGGGACAAUUCUUUGUUCUUAUUAUUAGGAUGUAUGUUUCGUAGCAAUGGUUUAUCAAAAAAAUAUUAUAAAUUAAAGUAAAAUGACAAGGGAAAGUUCUGAGUUCAUUUCCACAUUUAUUAAAACAGUUCCUUUAUAUCUUGUAAUAAUGGAAAUUUUCUUUUAUCAAAUUACUGUCGACAGGCGGAGAAAGUUUUCAAUCAAGAUUUGUAUUUUAAGAGGGCUGUCAAAUAUGUUGGAGAACCAAUGACCCACUUGGAAUCUAUUGCUUCCUCUGCGGUAGUUUUGUGCUUUCAGUAUUUUCCAUUUUAUUUUUUCUCCUUCUUUUUAUUAUACCAUUGGCCUGUUCCCUGAAGAGAUGCUGCUAACCGAAUCAUGCAUGAAGGAUGCCCUUUAUUUUGCUACAACAGGAAAAUAUUAUAAUAUAAUUUAUCUUUCCUAGGUACGUGCAGCCAUCAAGGUGAAGGCCUCUGUAAUUAUUUGCUUCACUACAUCUGGAAGAGCUGCAAGGUGAUUCUCUCUUAUCUCUUCUUCUCUCUUCAUGUGUAUUUAUAAAAUCAAAUUCUUAGGGCCCGUUUAAUUACCAUUUUGCUAGUUUUUAGUUCUCAUUUUUGUGUUAGAGAUAGAGGGAAAAUACAUGGGACAAAUGAGGGAUUAGAAUAGUUGAGGAAGGAUGGUGGAAGAAAUGUUGAAGGAAUGUUUAAGGAAAGGCACACAAAAUGUUGAAAAGUAAAAUUCAAAACCCAAAAACUAUUAUAAGUUGAUUUCACUUUCAAGAUUUUGUUUUAAUUUAUUCUUUAUUUCCUCCCCUUUCUUCCAACACCCUUCUUCAUCUUCCCUCCUUUUCCCCCAUAUAGAUUCCUCAUAUCUCAAGCACAAAAAGUGAAAACAAGAAACUAAAAAUGGUUAUCAAACUGGCCUUUAGGAAGUGGGUAAGGCUAAUGUUUCUUGGUUUUAUGUAAAAUUUUAGUUUCCUGAUUGAAGUUCAGUUAGAUGUACUUUAAUUGUAAAACAUAAAAAUAAGUCUUUGAUGGUUUACGAUGUUAGAUACAAAUAUUUUUGUAAUUGUUAUGUUCACUCUUGUGUAUAUACCGGUUUUGUUAUUUGGGCAUUAGUGUAGGUUGAUUGCAAAGUACAGACCAACAAUGCCUGUGCUUUCUGUUGUCAUUCCUCGGGUCAAGACAAAUCAACUCCGAUGGACAUUUUCUGGUGCUUUUGAGGUUUCUUACUGAACUGAUCAUCUUUGGUUUUAACUUUUUAUGCACUAGCAAGUUUUAUUUUCCAAGUAGGAAGCUAGAUGCUAGAAUUUGUGUGCUAAUGGUUUUAUCCAGUUGGGACAUAAUCCUGGAGCAGUUACUUUGUUGAAUGUUUUCUUUCUUCCUUUGUCCCACUCAAACAUGCAUGAAAGUAGAUCAUAUCUUGAUAUCUUGAACCUCUACAGUCUAUAUGCCGAGUGCCAAUUAAUUUUGGUUUGGAUGCUCUAACUUUAACAUAUAUCGCUUAUAAACUCAAGAUUUAAAAUUGAGAAGAAUGAUUAGCAGACAAUCAUACUAUUCUUUAUGAUUUACAUUCUCCAACUGAAUUUGAUGCUCAUAAUAUCCAUCUUUUUCUUGUGAUGAUAUCCGGCAGGCAAGGCAAUCGCUCAUUGUUAGAGGCAUUUUUCCCAUGCUAGCGGAUCCUCGACAUCCAGUAAGAUAUAUCCUGUUGAUUGCAUUGGAGAAAGCUAUGCAUAAUGCAUAUAAUAAUCACAGGGUUUCCCAGAUCUUUCCUUUCGUUAAAAUUGGUUGAUUUGGGUUUCCCGUUCACCUUGAAUGCUGCCCUAAUGAAUAUAGUUGGAAGUUUUUCGAUAUUCUAGAUAAGUAGAUCUCUGAAAAUGGUAGGAAAGGAGAAGGGGAGGCUACAUUUAGGGACCCGAGUCGGUUAUAGACGUGGAUUAACUUCAGUUCAUCACAUGAUGCGUAUUCUUUUGCAUGCUUCACUACCCAUUGUAUCAGACUGAGACGUUUCUUUUUCUUAUCUGCCCUUUCGCCCCUGCAGGCUGAAAUAACCGUUGCAACAAAUGAGUCCAUUCUUAAAAUCGCUUUGGACCAUGGCAAGGCCACUGGUGUCGUAAAAUCACAUGACCGUGUGGUCAUUUGCCAAAAAAUUGGCGAUACUUCUGUGAUCAAGAUCAUGGAGCUUGAAGAUUGAUAUAAAAAUUGCAACUUCUUUUGCGUAUAUGUUUACGAGUUUUACUGGUAAGUUCUCCAUGUCCUGUACCUUGCCCUCUUUCCCGAAAAUAAGCAAAUGUGCGUGUUAGUUGUAAGAAACCCUGGAUUGAAUUUCUGAGUUUUUGUAGUUGAAGUACCUCAAAACUUUUUAAGGGAAAUUACUGUAAAUUGUUGCUCCUCCAUCUUUCCUACCCAAACAGAGAACUAUCUCGUUGUAUUUUCUUAUAAAGAUUUUUAUUUUUAUUUUAUUUUGAAUAAACGAUGCUAUCUACGGGGGUGAGGGAGUGAGUUAAGCUUCAUAAUCGGCUAACAAUAAUGUGGUUCAAAUUCGUCUUUGGUUAGAAUCAAAUCUAAGACCUCUCACUUACAAAUGAAAAUAAAUACCACUAGAUCGUAGUACUAAAUAGUUCUUAUAAAAAUAAAAAAAAUAUUUGAAAUAACAUUUCAAUGUCAUUUCCAUUUCCUUCAUUAUGCACACCCACGGUUUAUUUUUUGUCACGCUUAAAAACUGGUUAUUACACUCGCAUCAGUUUUAAUAGUUUAUCAAGCACCAAAUUGCUUUAUUUCAUAGAUGAUUGGCAGUUUUUUUCAAAGUGAUUAUUUUUACAUUACAGAAAAAGUUCUCGAGAUCAUUUGGUGACUAAAGAAUAUAUGCUCAUUUACCUUUGGAUUUGAUAUGGUUGAUGCACAAAAUUAAAUUAAUCUUGGACCAACUUAAUUUCAACCACAAAUCACACAGGCGCAAAAAACACAAUAACAUAUCGUGGUUCACCUUGAGAUGGGAUUAUGUCCAUAGUUUCCGUUUCCACUAUGUAAGUGUAGGUUGCAUUGUAAAAGACAAGAGGUUUGUUGCCUUUGAAAGGGUAAAGUGGCUAGGGUUUGGAAGGAGAGGUUCUCUUUGAAGUGAGGGUUAGAAUUCUUUUUAUAGGAUAUGUAAGGGUAUGAUUGAUGAUUUAACAGCAAAAGCAAUAAAAAAUCCAAGGCCACCCAUCAAGAAGGGCCUCCCAUUUUAUAUUAAUUGUAUGUGUGACAUCCCACGGGAGUGGAUCAUGUAAGUCUUAUAUGUAUAUUCUCAUAUCUUCUUAGCAUGAGGCAUUUUGGGAACUUACUGGCUUCGGGUUCCAUUGAAACUCCGAAAUUAAGCGAGUUCACGAGAGAGCAAUCCCAUGAUGGGUGACUCACUAUGAAGUUCUCGUGUGAGCUCCCAGAAACAAAACCGUGAGGGUGUGGCCGGGGCCAAAGCGGAUAAUAUCGUGCUACGACGGAGUCGAGCUCGAGAUGUGAUGGGGUCCGGGCCCGGAUGUGAGCAGUAUGUAUAUAUCUAUUCGAAUUUGCAAUGAUAUGCCAAAUUCUACACAUGGCUCAAUUGUCCUCCACAUCUUAUUCAUAGUCCAUGUACCAUGAAAUUGGGUUCGACUCUACCGAGUGUCUUUUCUUUUUUGUUUUAUUUUAAUUUUUUGGGUAUUUAAAAGCAUGAGUUGUGUUUUAUUGUGUUAUUUAAAGCAUGUCGUUUAUUUUAAUUUCUUAUGUGUUUUAUUUUAAUUUUUUUGAUAUUUAAUAGAAUGGGUUGUAUUUUAUAUUUAUUUAUUUAUUGUUAUUUAAAGCAUGGUUUUUCUUGAUACAACAAUGAAAUAUGCAUCUUAACCAUCGGUGCAAAAUUUGAAAAUCAUUACAACUAGUGGAAGCUUUUAGAUGCAAAGAUUCAGCAAUGCUCACAAUUAUCAAAUCCCUACCAAACUCAUGUUCCAAGUCUUACUGCCUUAUAAGCAAAAUAGUCGACCAUGACUUAUUUAACUGCGUUUGAUACGACACUGAAAUGCCAGUUCAACAAUCAACACAACUCAAUCAUUCAAGAUCUUGGUAAAAUAUCUCAAUCCACCACUACUAUAGAGUUUAUGACUGAUAUUGUUAUCUCACCUAUUAGCCAUCACGUAGAUUUAGUCAACUUAUAUCUGUGCCAGAUUAAACUGCCCACCUAAAUCUCCAUGACAACUUUCCCUACUCAUAUUUUCCAACUAUACCAAGGGAAUCAAGACCCUGCGUAAAGCGAGAGCCUUGUGCACUGGGUAUGACCAAGGGAAUCAAGACACUUUGAGCACUGUCACGCCGAAGUGUUGCACGAUAAGCACCUUGAAAUCCCGCUUGCCGAGUCCAGCUGCAAGACUGCUUACAAGCAGCUCAUUCAUUUCCUAAUUAUCACUAUAUAUGGACAUAAAACUACCUCAAGCCACGUCUAAGCUAUAGCUUCCAAUGGUAAGCACUAGAGUAAACUAAAAAAAACACGGGGUCUCAGAACCACUGAGCUAAAAUGAUCAUUAUUCAAGUGGAGAUGACUGUGUCGUCACCAAUCUUCAAAAGAAAAUCCACGUUAAUCUUUUGAAAUCCUUUUCGGAGUCCCUCAAGAUGAAGAACACAAGCUCGAAUCAAUCCACUGCUAUGUAAAAUGAUCUCUUCACCUUGCAAUAGUAGCCCUCCUUCAAAAUGCCAUACCCAUUCACUAAGCUACAUCUGCUUAACCAGUUAAACACAUAUAAAGGCCUCUCUCUCACAAGCAGCUAGUUGUAAUCUCUAGGCCUCACCAGACCAUCGUGUCAGUAAUUACUACAAAUUUGUGUUUCGAGAAAAAACCGUGUGGACAAACAAACAACAGGAUGAUUGUAGGCAGUGUACAAACAAAACUAAAAACCCUUCAUCGGACUUCCCUUGCCCUUUCUUGGUGCAGCAAUGGAAACUUGAUAAAGGGUUGUGAAUAGAUCUGUAAACGGGUCGGGUUUAUUGGGUUUGGGUCGGGUUGAAUCCGAUCCGUUAAGUUAACGGAUCAUCCGAACUCAACCCGUUAAACUAACGGGUCACCCGUUUCAUCCGUUAUCACCUGUUAACAAUUAUUAUUAUUUUUUUUGCAUAAAGUUUAUUUUUUGUUAUCAAGACUUUACUAAAAUUACUAAAAUAUCCUCAACUAACGGGUGCUAACGGGUGUUAACGGGUCUAACAGGUUGACCCAAAGUGACCCGUUAUUUAACGGGUUGUUAACAGGUUCACCCGUUAACGACCCGACCCGUUAAGCAUCCAUCCAAAUACAAAUAUUAACAGAUUGGGUCGGAUCGGGUUAACGGGUUGGGUCCAAAAUGCCAGGCCUAGUUGUGAAUCGAUACACCCGAAAAACCCUUUUAUGAAGCUAAACUCCUACACUCAGUCCCGUUCCUAUCCAAUUUAUGUUUCUGGUAAUCAAAAAUUCAAACGACCAGCAUAAAUCAAGACGUAUCCAUUUUUUUUCUUCAUAUUAAAUUCAAGUUUCAUCACGAAAAAUUCCAAGUUCAAAUACGAGGAUGCAAGCAACCAACUCACAUGCAAUCAUGAAUGAAAACCCAGAUUUCAUAUACAACAAAUUAGUAAAAUUUCAUGUAAAAAAAUCAACAAAAUAAAAUAAACCAGGGUAAAAAAGCCAUGCCUGCCAGAGUAUAAUAGGAUUGGAAGUCUUCGUUAUGGGCUCUUCGCACUCAACCGCCACAGGCGGAGGAGCCACCACUUGCGCUUUCGGGAAGCUCAAAGACCGGCUUCGGCGUCUUACUUUCAGUUCCUUCUUCUGGUUUCCUUGGCUCCUCUGCAACAACGACGCUUGCCGCUUCUGGUUCUUGCUUCAGGAAGGGGAGUUGAAGCUUGAACUUGGGGAAGAGUGAGAACAAGUUUUUGGGUCCUUUUGGGUCGUCUUCUUUGAUUACAAUCUCUGUGUUUUCUGCCAUUUUUUGGGAGAGAAAGGGCGAUUCUGAAUGUGGGUUUGGAGUGUAAACGGCGGAGAAAACGAGCAGAGUGGCGAUGUUCAUGAGAUGUUGUAAACGCAGCUUUUAUUAUAUUUUCUCUCUUUUUCUUACUCCAGAACGUCCUCCAUCCUCGUUUAAAUUUAAAAAUUAAAAAUUAAAAGGCUAAAUUUUUUUCUUCAUCAUGCGGUGAGGCACCACUUUUAAAUCGAUUAUUGUGGAGAAAAAAGCGUUAAUCUUAACCCUGUGGUGUAAUUCGUUAUCAAUCGUAGUCCAAAUAGAAAUUUCUAUCAAAAUCUAAUCCUCGUGCAGGGGUAAAAAGGUCAUUUCAUUUUGAUAAUUCCACUUUUUUAUAAUCAACAAAAAAAUUAGAAGGGAAAAAAAAAAAAAAAAACCCUCCCCAAUCCCUACCUUUGUAAGCCACAACCACAGCGACCACCCACCACCUUCCCUCCUCUCUCUCGCAUAACCUUAUCCAUCCUGUCCACCACUGUUAUUCUUAAGAUGAAACUAAAUUCAAUGUUUGCAUAAUAACUUAUAUUCUAACCUAAACACAGUGAGGUACUUUGUGAUUUUUUAAAUCUUGAAUUUGGACACUUGGAUCACUUGAAAUGAGAAAGUCUGAUAAUAUGAACCUUGUAAUUUUAUUGUUUAUUUAUUCUUUUAUUGUCCAUAUGACAUUUUAUGAUUGGUUGAUAGAAUUAAUAAAAACGAAAAUAACAAUUUUGGCCCUACAAAUGUUAGAAGAAUAAGGAAAAAUCCAAUUUGGACUAUGAUUGAUAACGAAUUUCAUCACAUGAUUACAAUUAAUAGCUGUUUCACCACAAAUGUCUGAGGUCUAUUUAAAAGUAAGGUAUCACCACAAGGAUCACGAAAAAAAUUUGGCCAAAUUAAAAAUAUUCAUGUGGUGUUUUGAGGAAAAAAAAAAGCAACACUAUUUAUAAUAAUAAUAAUAAUAUUUUUCUUAAAUAAAUAAAAGUUUAAAACGUAUGAUUUUGAUAUUCGUCUAUGCAUCCAUUAUCUGGAUAAUCAAAUAUAGCAAUGUUAAUCCAAUUGCGUUUAUUAGUUCUUGUCUAUUACGUCCCGAAUCUAGGAUGGGUGAAAAAUCCGAAUUUGAAAGGCAAAUUAAAUUAAUAAAGAAAUUUUAUAUUUAAAACUUGCAUUCUAUACAAGGCUACAAAGAAAAUAAAAUAAAUUUGUUCACAAAAAGAAAAAAAAAAAAUAAAAUAAAAUUCUAAUAUCACAUUUAAUUUGAUUUCAAUAGAAAGCAUGUAGUUCAUAAUCACCUUCAUAGACCUCAUGACAACUCAAUAAACACCGUGAUACAACCACCACGGAGCCUAAUAGAUGUGGAACGAAAAUCACCAAAAAUUCGUCUCAUGGAAUAGCACGUUCCACCCGUUUUAGGCGCAACGACAACCUUAUUUCAUUUUUCAGUAAUUGACGCCGUAAUUAACUAAUUACUGCUCAUAAACAGGUAAGUACAGUACAGUAAGAAGCUCCGCACAUAAGAAGCUAAUGAAAAUUUCUCGCACUUUCUCAACAGAACAUUUUCCACAAGCAGUUGCAGUUGCUGUUGCUCGUCUUCUUCUUCUUCGUCGGCGGCAAAAAUGCAUUCGACUCACUUGUUUCUGGAAGAGCCGAUCAGGAUGGCUUCGAUUCUCGAGCCUUCCAAGCCUGUGAGUAAUUCCGGUCACUCUAACUCUUCCGUUUCUUUGAACUAGUAGUUAGUUAGUUAGUUAGUUAAUUUUGAUUGAGAAGAGAGAGAGCCAAUUAUUUGCUUUUGUUUCUUCAGCAAGUAACCAAGUUGUAGUGUGUUUGUUUCCCGAGAAAGUGAAGGAUUGGAUGGAAAACAAACAAGGCCUGGAUUUCCUCUUUGUACUACCUGUUUGGCUGUUUCUUAAAAUUAAUUUGUAGCAAGUAUAAAUCAGCUCUCAGUGUUUGUGGGUUUGGAUGGAAUCUGUAUUUCCUUCUUGCAUCUUAAUUCUUAUCAUGUGUUUGGUUUCUGAGAAAUUGUGAUAAUCAGGAGGGUGUCAUAUUUCUUAUCAGAGAAAUCUUUACUUAGCAAUCAAACAGGAUAUUAUUGUUUCCCAAAUAUUCUCUGAAUUUCCGUGGGUUAUUAGAUGAAUAUGUGGCCGUAGGGAUUUGACAGAACUUGAAUGCGUGACAAACUUUGAUGGAUCUAAACUUGCAGACAUUCUUUCCAGCAAUGACAAGGAUCGUGGGAACGCUUGGUCCAAAAUCACGAUCGGUUGAGACAAUCUCCGGUUGCUUGAAGGCAGGAAUGUCUGGUAUUACUCACCUGCUAUGCUUAAUUUUCAUUAUUCAUCUGUCUGAUUAUGAGUUGCCAGCUUCUUAUUUUUGCUAUCUCCCUUCAUCUAUAAUACUUUAGUAAAAGGAUAAGAAACACUGUCUGAGACUUGUGUACCUCCGUUUUGGCGGUACAAUUUCUUCACUGUGAAGAUAGUACUGUGUGAUUGUUUUGCUUCUGGUAAAUCCUUUAUCUAUUUUCCGUCUGUUCAAUUUGAAUUCCCUUUUUGAAUUUUAUAUGACGUUGAUUUAGCUAAUUGAAGUAUAUAAUUCC